UUGACUUGUUUUGUAUAUACUCGGAGAUGCCACGCUGCAGAGACAGAGUAGGGGGCCACCGGCGGGCUCAGCGCCCGGCGCAGGGCCGGGCACCCGCCGAGGCAACGUUUCGGUAAGUUCACAGGGUUGUGGGAUCUUGCGAUUCCAGUAAUGAUCCCUCCGCUGGUUCACCAACGGAGA
rnacentral:misc_RNA from 1 species